GACCUCGGAUCAGGUAGGAAUACC
rnacentral:rRNA from 3 species